AAAUUUCACUACUAUUACGAUUGUUACAAACAUUCGUACAUUCAUUUGUUUAUAGAUGCUAAUUUAACAAUAUUUUACAUUUAUAUUAAUCAAUUUAGUGCUAUUGCGAACGUUCAAAAUGUAUAAAUUAACAAUCAUAAUAUUGAAAAUGAUAAAUUGUAAGUUCAGCUUAAUACCCUACAAGACGGAGCUAACUCAUACACCACUACACAUGCAAAUUUUUUCAGCUUUUACUAAUACAUACACAUUGCUAACAUUUUGUAGCUAAGGGGCAAUCUCGGUAGUUAGAGUAGCAAAAUUCAUUAGCCCUAAUUUUUGUAUGUGUAAGAGAGAGAUACACUGAACCGUUCAAAAAUCGCCGUCAUGGCCGCUGUUCAUCUCAAAAUAAAAUUUUUGGUGAAUGGAUUUAUACGUGUGUGCACAGCAAAGGAGGAGCAAGGAGGUGAGGGUGAAAUUGGUGGAGGUUUAUGGAUUUAGAAUUGGUGUAAUAUAUAACAACAACAGCGCAGAAAACAAUGAUAUUGAAAACACAAAUCUUCUUCUGCUUACGCGGUUAUAGCCGAGUCCACAACAGCGCGCCACGCAUCUCUCCUUUUGUUAGUUUGUUCGUCAAUUGGUAAUACCAAGUGAAGACAGGUCCUUCUCCACCUGGUCCUUUCAUCGGAGUGGAGGUCUCCCUCCUCCUCGGCUUCCACCAGCGGGUACCGCAUCGAAAACUUUCAGAGCUGAGGCGCUUUCGUCCAUUCGAACAACAUGACCAAGCCCGCGUAGCCGCUGUCUUUUUAUUCGCUGGACUAUGCCUAUGUCGUCGAACAACACAUACAGCUCAUCAUUUCAUCUUAUGCAGUAUUCGCCGUUGCUAAUGUUUAAGGGACCAUAAAUCUUCCGCAAAACCUAGUGCCGUCUCACCGGAUGUUGACACUGUCCACGCUUCUCCACCAUAAAGUAGGACGGGAAUGAUGAGGGACUUGUAGAAUUUAGUUUCUGUUCAUCGAGAGAGGACUUAACUUUUCAAUUGCCUACUCAGUCCAUAAACACAAAUACUUUGCACAAAUGGAGGAUUACAAUAGCUACAACUUUUCCAAGGCAUGAUAAACAAUACAACAACAAAUCCCAUUGGACAUUUAGAUUAGCGGUUGCACAACCUUUUUCCGAUGAGCUGAACACUUUUAUGAUGUACAUAUGAGAUAGGAUUGUGUGGAAUUGACAUCAAACAAUAUUGGUUGAGUAGUUUCGUUGGAACCUUUCAGAAUGGUUAUAAGGAAAUCGUUCGCGUUUAGUACUAAUGUAUUCAUUUUGAAUUAUGAAUUGAUAUAAAUUAUGAAUUAGAUUUAAAUGUAAAAUAUUGUUAAAUUAUACAAAUGAAUGUUCGAAUACUAAUAACAGUCGUAAUAGUAGUUGAAUUUUAUUUGUAUUGUUUAUUUGUAAAAUAUAUAAAUUUUGUCUAUGUAUAAAUGAUAGCUGCAAAAACGUUUGUAAAAAUUACAGUUCACUUUGUA